rnacentral:rRNA from 1 species
CGCCUCUUGACAAAACAUAAGAGGUCCAGCCUGCCCAGUGACAAAGUUUAACGGCCGCGGUACCCUAACCGUGCGAAGGUAGCAUAAUCACUUGUUCUUUAAAUGAGGACUCGUAUCAACGGCACUACGAGGGCUAUACUGUCUCCUUUUUCUAAUCAGUGAAACUGAUCUCCCCGUGAAGAAGCGGGGAUUAAAAUAUAAGACGAGAAGACCCCAUGGAGCUUUAAACUCACCAUACACCUCUGUGUCCUCUCAUCACCCUACACAAGAAGCUUGUAUGCUAGUUUUAGGUUGGGGGGACCACGGAGUAAAAUAUAACCUCCACAACAAAUGGGCUAACACCCUAAUCCACGAGAUACAACUCUAAGAAUUACUAAACUAAUGUUUAUGACCCGAUAAUUCGAUCAAUGAACCAAGUUACCCUGGGGAUAACAGCGCAAUCUACUUCAAGAGCCCAUAUCGACAAGUAGGUUUACGACCUCGAUGUUGGAUCAGGGUAUCCCAGUGGUGCAGCCGCUACUAAUGGUUCG